AUGAAUCCAGCCUCGGCACCGGGCCCCGAUGGGCUACCGGUCCGUUUCUUUCAGGCAUUCUGGCCUAUGGUCAAGGAAACCAUCCUUGAGUUGUUCCGUGAGUUCGCUAGGGGAACAUUGGACAUAUCCCGCCUUAACUAUGAGAUUAUCUCCUUGAUCCCCAAGGUUCCGGGUGCAGCGGAUAUUAGACAAUUCCGCCCUAUCACAGUCCUCAAUGUGAUCUUUAGAAUCCUGGCCAAAGGAUACGCCACUAGGGCGACCCUUAUUGCGCCACGGAUUCAUCACCCAAACCAAUCGGCCUUCACCAAAGGCCGAUUUAUUCUCGACGGGGUCCUCGUCCUUCAUGAGGUGAUCCAUGAGGUCAAGUCGAAGCACCUCCGUGCGGUGUUCUUCAAAAUUGAUUUCCAUAAGGCUUAUGACAUUGUUCAUUGGUCCUUCCUUCGGGAAGUGUUGCUCAAACGUGGGUUUGAUCACCACUGGGUCGUGCGUGUUAUGCAGUUGGUCACGAGUGGCCGGACUGCGGUUAACAUAAAUGGGGAGGUUGGGCCGUACUUCUUGACGGGCCAAGGGCUCCGUCAGGGGGACCCAAUAUCCCCUUUUCUAUUCAAUCUCGUGGUUGAUGCACUUGCCUCAAUCCUUGAUUUAGCCAAGAGCACCGGUCACAUUAGGGGGAUCUGCCCCCACCCGGUAGCGAAUGGGGGUCUGACCCAUCUCCAAUAUGCCGAUGACACCAUUAUGAUGGUGGAAGGCUCGGAUGAGGACAUUCGGAAUCUCAAGUUCCUCCUCCUCUGCUUUCAGGAAAUGUCGAGCCUCAAGAUUAAUUUCACCAAGAGUGAGGUGAUGGUCAUGGGAUACACCCCGACGGACGCUCAGCGCAUUGCCAACCGCUUGAACUGUCGUUUGGGGACCUUCCCGACUACCUACCUGGGCGUUCCUCUUAGUGAUACUCGCUUACUUGAGAAGGACUUUCAUCCAAUAAUCGCCAAGCUCCAACCUAGGAUGGAGCCAUGGCAGGGGAGGUGGCUAUCGAAAGCCGCUCGAGUAAUUCUGAUGAACUCCUCCCUCAUUAGCCUACUGAUGUAUAUCAUGGGAUUCUAUAGUCUGCACGAAUCCCUUCAUCACGAGGUCACCAAACUCCUCUCCAGAUUCUUCUGGGCAGGAGAGAACAACAAACAGAAGUACCACAUGGUGAAGUGGUCUGAGAUCUGCAAGCCGAAGGACCAAGGAGGUCUUGGGGUUAUUUCAUCCAAGCGAAUGAAUAUUUCCCUCCUUUCCAAAUGGCUUUGGCGGAUUCAGACUGCUGAGGGUGGUCGGUGGCUUGACAUUAUGCGCGCAAAAUACUUGCGCGUGCAGCCACUGGCGUUCGCAUAUAGAUCUGAUGGCUCCCAAUUCUGGCAAUCGGUGAUUCGUCUGAUGCCGGUUUUGCGUAUUGGGACCUCCAUUAAAAUAGGCUCUGGCACGGGCACCCUGUUCUGGCUAGACCAUUGGGCAGGGUCCCGCCCUUUUGCGGACCGCUUCUCCGCGCUGUUCGCGAUAUGCGUCCGCCCACAGCUUUCUGUGGCUGUGGCAUUAGCUGAUUUGGGGGCUAUUGCCUUUCGCCGUACCUUUGGGGCGGUGGAACGUCAGCAAUGGGACGAAUUGCUUGAGUGUAUUGCCUUACACCCCCCUCCUUGGAGCCCGAUUCUAUUUCUUGGCACCUUGAGUCAAGUGGCCGCUUCUCAACAAGAUCUCUUUAUCAGGCGAUUGUCCCCACCCCUGGCCCGGCGGAACUCUUGGUGCUCUGGGAGAUCAAACUCCCCUUGA
rnacentral:rRNA from 1 species